rnacentral:rRNA from 1 species
AUGCACGCUGGCGGCGUGCCUCAUCCAUGCAAGUCGAGCGAACAGACGAGGAGCUUGCUCCUCUGACGUUUGCGGCGGACGGGUGAGUAACACGUGGAUAACCUACCUAUAAGACUGGGAUAACUUCGGGAAACCGGAGCUAAUACCGGAUAAUAUAUUGAACCGCAUGGUUCAAUAGUGAAAGACGGUUUUGCUGUCACUUAUAGAUGGAUCCGCGCCGCAUUAGCUAGUUGGUAAGGUAACGGCUUACCAAGGCAACGAUGCGUAGCCGACCUGAGAGGGUGAUCGGCCACACUGGAACUGAGACACGGUCCAGACUCCUACGGGAGGCAGCAGUAGGGAAUCUUCCGCAAUGGGCGAAAGCCUGACGGAGCAACGCCGCGUGAGUGAUGAAGGUCUUCGGAUCGUAAAACUCUGUUAUUAGGGAAGAACAAAUGUGUAAGUAACUAUGCACGUCUUGACGGUACCUAAUCAGAAAGCCACGGCUAACUACGUG